rnacentral:rRNA from 1 species
GUUGAUCCUGCCAGUAGUCAUAUGCUUGUCUCAAAGACUAAGCCAUGCAUGUCUAAGUAUAAAUGUUAUACAGUGAAACUGCGAAUGGCUCAUUAAAACAGUUAUAGUUUAUUUGAUAAUCGAAUUUACAUGGAUAACCGUGGUAAUUCUAGAGCUAAUACAUGCUGGUUAGCCUGACUUUUGAGGAAGGGCUGUAUUUAUUAGAUAACAAACCAAUAUUCCCCGUGUCUAUUGUGAUGACUCAUAAUAACUGAUCGAAUCGCAUGGACUUUGUCCGCGAUAAAUCAUUCAAGUUUCUGCCCCAUCAGCUUUCGAUGGUAGUGUAUCGGACUACCAUGGCUUUAACGGGUAACGGAGGAUUAGGGUUCGAUUCCGGAGAGGGAGCCUGAGAAACGGCUACCACAUCUAAGGAAGGCAGCAGGCGCGUAAAUUACCCAAUCCUGACUCAGGGAGGUAGUGACAAGAAAUAACGGACCGAAGCCUAUGUUUCGGGAUUGCAAUGAGUAGAAUUUAAACCCCUUUACGAGGAUCAAUUGGAGGGCAAGUCUG